UACGUAGGCAGCGAGCGUUGUUCGGAGUUACUGGGCGUAAAGAGUGCGUAGGCGGUUUUCUAAGUUUGGUGUGAAAUCUCCCGGCUUAACUGGGAGGGUGCGCCGAAAACUGGAAGGCUUGAGUAUGGGAGAGGUAAGCGGAAUUCCUGGUGUAGCGGUGAAAUGCGUAGAUAUCGGGAGGAACACCAAUGGCGAAGGCAGCUCGCUGGGACGGUACUGACGCUGAGACGCGAAAGCGUCGGGAGCAAACAGG
rnacentral:rRNA from 1 species